UACGACUCMCUAUAGGGCGAAUUGAAUUUAGCGGCCGCGAAUUCGCCYUUAGAGUUUGAUUAUGGCUCAGGACGAACGCUGGCGGCGUGCUUAACACAUGCAAGUCGAACGGUGAACCACUUCGGUGGGGAUCAGUGGCGAACGGGUGAGUAACACGUGGGCAACCUGCCCCUAGCUCUGGGAUAACCUCGGGAAACCGAGGCUAAUACCGGAUAUCACUUCUCGUGGCAUCACUUGAAGUUGAAAGAACUUUGGCUAGGGAUGGGCCCGCGGCCUAUCAGCUUGUUGGUGGGGUAACGGCCUACCAAGGCGACGACGGGUAGCCGGCCUGAGAGGGCGACCGGCCACACUGGGACUGAGACACGGCCCAGACUCCUACGGGAGGCAGCAGUGGGGAAUAUUGCGCAAUGGGCGAAAGCCUGACGCAGCGACGCCGCGUGAGGGACGAAGGCCUUCGGGUCGUAAACCUCUUUCAGCAGGGAAGAAGCGAAAGUGACGGUACCCGCAGAAGAAGCACCGGCUAACUACGUGCCAGCAGCCGCGGUAAUACGUAGGGUGCAAGCGUUGUCCGGAAUUAUUGGGCGUAAAGAGCUCGUAGGCGGCUUGUCACGUCUGCUGUGAAAACUCGGGGCUCAACCCCGAGCCUGCAGUGGAUACGGGCUAGCUAGAGUGCGGUAGGGGAGACUGGAAUUCCUGGUGUAGCGGUGAAAUGCGCAGAUAUCAGGAGGAACACCGGUGGCGAAGGCGGGUCUCUGGACCGAUACUGACGCUGAGGAGCGAAAGCGUGGGGAGCGAACAGGAUUAGAUACCCUGGUAGUCCACGCCGUAAACGUUGGGCGCUAGGUGUGGGGAACUUUCCACGUUCUCCGUGCCGCAGCUAACGCAUUAAGCGCCCCGCCUGGGGAGUACGGCCGCAAGGCUAAAACUCAAAUGAAUUGACGGGG
rnacentral:rRNA from 1 species